CGACUGAAGCGGGGGUGCCCGGCGUUGCCGGGCUGAGAGAGUCCCUUGGAACCUGAUCCGGUUUGCACCGGCGUAGGGAGCUUGAUUGGAACAGCC
rnacentral:ncRNA from 2 species